rnacentral:rRNA from 1 species
UACGUAGGGAGCAAGCGUUGUCCGGAAUCAUUGGGCGUAAAGCGCGCGUAGGCGGCCCGGUAAGUCCGCUCUGAAAGUCCAGGGCUUAACCCUGGAAAGCGGGUGGAUACUGCCGGGCUAGAAUCCGGAAGAGGCGAGUGGAAUUCCUGGUGUAGCGGUGGAAUGCGCAGAUAUCUGGAGGAACACCGGUGGCGAAGGCGGCAUCCUGGACCGGGCAUUGACGCUGAGGCGCGAAAGCCAGGGGAGCAAAGC